AUGAAGACAGUGACUGGACCUUUGUUCCUGUGCUUGUGGCUGCAGCUGAACUGUGUGAGCAGAGGAGAGCAGGUGGAGCAGCGCCCUUCUCACCUGAGUGUCCAGGAGGGAGACAGCGCCGUUAUCAUCUGCACCUACACAGAUCCUAACAGUUAUUACUUCUUCUGGUACAAGCAAGAGCCGGGGGCAGGUCUCCAGUUGCUUAUGGAGAUUCUCUCAAGCAUGGAAAUAAAAGAAAGACAAGGAUUCAUUGUCCUACUGAACAAGAAAGACAAGCAACUCUCCCUGAAUAUCACAGCUCCCCAUCCUGGGGACUCAGCCGUAUACUUCUGUGCAGUCAAACCUGGAGGCUAUAAACUGGUCUUUGGAAGUGGGACUCAAUUGCUGGUGAGCCCUGAUAUCAAGGACCCAGAACCAGCUGUGUACCAGCUGAAAGAUCCUCAGUUUAAGAAUGGCACCCUGUGCCUCUUCACCGACUUUGAUUCUCAAGCCAAUGUGAUGGAAAACACGGUCUCUGCAAUGUUCGUCUCUAACAAAACCGUGCUGGACAUGAAGGCUACGGAUUCCAAGAGCAACGGGCUCAUAGCCUGGAGCACCGAAAAGAGCUUCACCUGCAAAGGUGCCUUCAAAGUGGACGCCUCCUUCCCCAGUUCCGAUGUUCCCUGUGAUGCCAAGUUGAUCGAGAAAAGCUUUGAAACAGAUAUGAACCUAAACUUUCAAAACUUGUCAGUAAUGGGACUCCGAAUCCUCCUGCUGAAAGUGGCCGGAUUUAACCUGCUCAUGACGCUGAGGCUGUGGUCCAGUUGA